rnacentral:rRNA from 1 species
AGCGAACGCUGGCGGCAUGCUUAACACAUGCAAGUCGCACGGGCAGCCAUUUCAGUGGCGGUCUGGUGAGUAGCGCGUAGGAACGUGUCCUGAGGUGGAGGACAACCUCGUGUUACGGGGGCUAUUACUGCAUAUGGGCUGAGGCCCAAAGCCGAGGGGCGACUUUGGGGCGGCCUGCGUCCGAUUAGGUAGUUGGGGGGGUAAAGGCCUAUCAAGCCUGCGAUCGUUAGCUGGUCUGAGAGGACGACCCGCCACACUGGGACUGAGACACGGCCCAGAAUACUACGGGAGGGAGCAGAGGGGAAUAUAGGAAAAUGGGCGAGAGCCUGAUCCAGCACUGCCGGGUGAGUGAAGAAGGUCUUCGGAACGUAAAGCCCUUUCGACGGGGACGAUGAUGACGGUACCCGUAGAAGAAGCCCCGGCUAACUUCGUG